rnacentral:rRNA from 1 species
CAAUAGCGUAUAUUAAAGUUGUUGCAGUUAAAAAGCUCGUAGUUGGAUUUCUGGUGAGAGUGGCUGGCCCGCCCUUAUGGGGUGUGAGCUUUGCUUAUUCUCGCCAUCCUUGGGGAAAGCCUUUCUGGCAUUAAGUUGUCGGAUUGGGGAUCCUCAUCGUUUACUGUGAAAAAAUUAGAGUGUUCAAAGCAGGCUUACGCCGUUGAAUACAUUAGCAUGGAAUAAUAAGAUAGGACUUUAGUACUAUUUUGUUGGUUUGCGUACCAAAGUAAUGAUUAAUAGGGAUAGUUGGGGGUAUUCGUAUUCAGUUGUCAGAGGUGAAAUUCUUGGAUUUAUUGAAGACGAACUACUGCGAAAGCAUUUACCAAGGAUGUUUUCAUUAAUCAAGAACGAAAGUUAGGGGAUCGAAGACGAUUAGAUACCGU